rnacentral:rRNA from 1 species
AGAGUUUGAUCAUGGCUCAGAUUGAACGCUGGCGGCAUGCCUUACACAUGCAAGUCGAACGCGAAAAGGGGGCAACCCCUGAGUAGAGUGGCGAACGGGUGAGUAAUACAUCGGAACGUGUCCAGUAGCGGGGGAUAACCUCUCGAAAGAGAGGCUAAUACCGCAUACGUCCUACGGGAGAAAGAGGGGGAUCGCAAGACCUCUCACUAUUGGAGCGGCCGAUGUCGGAUUAGCUAGUUGGUGGGGUAACGGCCUACCAAGGCUACGAUCCGUAGCUGGUCUGAGAGGACGACCAGCCACACUGGAACUGAGACACGGUCCAGACUCCUACGGGAGGCAGCAGUGGGGAAUUUUGGACAAUGGGCGCAAGCCUGAUCCAGCCAUGCCGCGUGAGUGAAGAAGGCCUUCGGGUUGUAAAGCUCUUUCGGCGGGGACGAAAAGGUCCGUGCUAACACCAUGGAUCCAUGACGGUACCCGCAGAAGAAGCACCGGCUAACUACGUGCCAGCAGCCGCGGUAAUACGUAGGGUGCAGGCGUUAAUCGGAAUUACUGGGCGUAAAGCGUGCGCAGGCGGUUUGCUAAGACAGGUGUGAAAUCCCCGGGCUUAACCUGGGAACUGCGCUUGUUACUGGCAGGCUUGAGUGUGGCAGAGGGGGGUGGAAUUCCACGUGUAGCAGUGAAAUGCGUAGAGAUGUGGAGGAACACCGAUGGCGAAGGCAGCCCCCUGGGCUAACACUGACGCUCAUGCACGAAAGCGUGGGGAGCAAACAGGAUUAGAUACCCCAGUAGUCC